UGGGGGAUCGUUCAAUGGUAGGACACACGGCUCUGACCCGUGGAAUUUGGGUUCGAAUCCCAAUCCCCCAGCCA
rnacentral:tRNA from 1 species